rnacentral:rRNA from 1 species
UACAGAGGUCCCAAGCGUUGUUCGGAUUCACUGGGCGUAAAGGGUGCGCAGGUGGCUGGGUAAGUUUGAUGUGAAAGCCCCGGGCUUAACCCGGGAAUGGCAUUGAAUACUAUUCGGCUGGAGGAUUGGAGGGGGGACUGGAAUUCUUGGUGUAGCAGUGAAAUGCGUAGAUAUCAAGAGGAACACCAGUGGCGAAGGCGAGUCCCUGGACAAUUCCUGACACUGAGGCACGAAAGCCAAGGGAGCAAACAGG